GGCAGUUAGGCUGCAGUGAAUUCUACAAAGAGGCUAUGGGAAAGAAACCUGGAAAGUACCCUUGGCUGUGUACAUUUGAGUAAAGAGAGCACUAUAAAAUCAAAAACCAAUGAAAUGGUUUCCAGAACACAGAACUAUUAAGCUUAAGAAAAGGACAGAAGGAACUGAAGAGAGAGGAACUGUUUUGGAGCAUCACACUUCCACCUCAGAAGAAAUAAGGAAGGAAGGAGGAGGGUGUUCCCACGGCUCUUCAACCAGGCCGGCUCUUCAGCCUACAUCCCCAUCUCAUCAAGUAAAAGGGAUUUUUCAACUGGACCAACCAGAUGGUUUAACAGUGCACUCCCACACCAUUCAACUACGCAAGGGAGAUACACUUAACAUAUGCAGUCGUAUAACACCUACUAACAUUUUCAAACAUUAAACCUUUAAAAAAGAGUUCUAAAGAAAUAGAAGCUUGAAGUAUCAUCUCUCAAGUAUAUAGACACUACUUCAUGGUGUGGUAAUAUAUGCAUAUAGAAGCUAGUAAACACCUCCAGGAGAUGCAAAAGGAAUUAGAACUGCCACAAGGUGCAAGCAAAACCUUGAGGUAAUCAAUCUGCAUCCCAUUUUGGAUGAGAAUAUUUGCAACUUUGAAGGUUAUUUUAAGGACAGCAGCAGAAGAAUUAUGGCAGGUAUCUGAAAUUCAUUUCUGUGCUUUGCCGAGGACCCAUGGGAUGCCAUUUGCAGAUGAGAAAACUAAAGAAUAGCUUUAUCUUCCAGCUCUUCACGGAAAAAAAAAUGGCAACAAUAAAAUCAGCAACUCCUGCCAAAUAAAUGGGCAUAAAAAAGAAAUCAUAGACUGCUGGCAAUGGUGGGGAAAAAGUUAUAAAAAUUGUCUCUGCACCAUCUUCCUUUUGUCCUCUAAAAUAUUCACAUUAGCAAAAGUAUAUAACAGCUGAUGAAGAAAUACUGAUAAUUUGUCUUUCUUCUUUAAAAUAUGAAGACUUCGAAGUUAUUUAUCCAAACCAACCUGAUCAUUUCUUAAGAGUGAAUAUACCUUGGAAGACGUGUCCUGCCUUUAGUAGCGUCACAAUGGAUUACAUCCUCUAUAAAGCAGUCUGGGGUGAGAAAAUCGAAUUUGGACACCGUUGAGGAGACUAUUGCAGUCAUCCAAGCUCAAGAUGGUGGAGCUUCAUCCUUGAGAAUAACCAAUGGGGAUAGAUUUAAGAGACACUUAGAGUCUGCAGCCAACAGGGCUGAAUGAGCAGAGAGUUAUGAUUCAGAAGAUCAUCUAAAAUUGAACAGCUGCCACUACUGGCAAUAAGUCUACUGCCAUUUGGUAGAUAACCUUCUUAUCACACAGAAAAAUAUCAGUACAGACAAAUAGACCGCAAAGAAAAUGAGACCAUCAGCAAAGAAGAUAAAGAAGUUUGUACAAAGCAACUUUUUAUAAAUGGAUGGCUGUCAGGCAAAAAUAAAUUUCCUGUGGACAAGACCAAGAGCAAGGCAAGAGGAAAAUAAACAUGUUUAAACUAU
rnacentral:lncRNA from 1 species